rnacentral:rRNA from 1 species
AGAUAUAGUCACUCAGAUGCGAAAGCUAGGGGAGCAGACAGGAUUAGAUACCCUGGUAGUACUCACCGUAAACGAUGUAUACUUGGAGGUUGCGGCCUUGAGCAGUGGCUUUCGGAGCUACCGCGUUAAGUAGGCCGCCUGGGGAGAACGGUCGCAAGAUUAAAACUCAAAGGAAUUGAAGGGGGCCCGCACAAGCGGUGGAGCAUUUGGUCUAAUUUGAUGCAACGUGAAGAACCUUAGCAGCCCUUGACAUCGAGAGAAUGCCGCAGAGAGGUGGGAGCCCCUUGGGCCCUUGUAGACAGGUGUUCCAUGGCUGUGGUUAGCUCGUGUGGUUAGAUUUUGGGUUAAGUCCUGUUCCGAGCGCAACCCUUGUCGAUAGUUGCCAGCGGGUCGCCCGGGAUCUCCAAGGAGAUUAUCCCAGAUAAACCGGACGAAGGUGGGGAGGACGUCAAGUCAUCAUGGCCGUUCUGGGGUGGGCUACACACGUGAUCCAAUGGUUGGAACAGAGGUCCGCAAACCCGGGAGGGGGAGCCAAUCCCAGAAAGCCGAUCGUAGUCUGGAUUGCAGUAUGCAACUCGGAAGCAUGAAGUAGGAAUCGCUAGUAAUCGCGAAUCAGCAUGGGGCGGUGAAUACGUUCCCGUGCCUUGUACACUCCGCCUGU